ACUCUGGAGCGACUUAUCUGUGAAAUUAUUCACACAUUAUUAUAUAAUUUCACGUUUGUUAUUUUCACACUGACAACCACCAGAGGGCGCUCUAGGCUUGUGCACCUGUACCUGCUACUUCUUGAAUAGCAACUGACAUGAGUAUGAGG